rnacentral:rRNA from 1 species
UACGAAAGGAGCAAGUGUUAUUCAGAUUAACUGGGCGUAAAGGGCGCGUAGGCGGCUUUGUAAGUCGGGGGUGAAAGCCUGUGGCUCAACCACAGAAUUGCCUUCGAUACUGCAUGGCUUGAGACCGGAAGAGGUUAGUGGAACUGCGAGUGUAGAGGUGAAAUUCGUAGAUAUUCGCAAGAACACCAGUGGCGAAGGCGGCUGACUGGUCCGGUUCUGACGCUGAGGCGCGAAAGCGUGGGGAGCAAACAGGG